rnacentral:rRNA from 1 species
UAAGAUUUUAAUUGAAUGCUAAGAGAAUGGAUUAACAAAAAAUGACUUUUUUAAAUUCAAUAAUUGAAUUUAUUUUUAUUUGUGAGGAAACAAUAAUAUAUAUUAAGGACAAGAAGACCCUAAGAAUUUUAAAAGAAUUAAUAUUUGAAUCAAAAUUUAUGUCUUUUUAAUUGGGGCGAUUAAGAAAUAUAAAUAACUUUCUUUACAAUAUCAAGAUGAACCGUUAAUAGCGGUAAUAUGAUAAAAAUACUCUAGGGAUAACAGCGUAAUAAUUUUUGAUAGUUCAUAUAGACAAAAUAGUUUGCGACCUCGAUGUUGGAUUAGGAUACUUGUUUAAUGAAGAAG